UACGUAGGGUGCGAGCGUUGUCCGGAAUUAUUGGGCGUAAAGGGCUCGUAGGCGGUCUGUCACGUCGGGUGUGAAAACACGGGGCUUAACCCCGUGCCUGCUUCCGAUACGGGCAGACUAGAGGUAUGCAGGGGAGAACGGAAUUCCUGGUGUAGCGGUGAAAUGCGCAGAUAUCAGGAGGAACACCGGUGGCGAAGGCGGUUCUCUGGGCAUUACCUGACGCUGAGGAGCGAAAGUGUGGGGAGCGAACAGG
rnacentral:rRNA from 1 species